UUUGAGCGUGUUUUCCCUGGACUGGUCUAUCUGUCGCGCGAUCUUGACGUGGUGGACCUAGCGCCAGAAGAAACUCGUUUC